CAUUUUUGAUAAUUGGCCAAAACAGCUAUUUAGUGCAGAUGUCUGUUCACACUUUUCUUUCUGCCACAAUUGGUGUAAAGUAGUACUUGUUUCAGGGCUAUUCUAGAAGCAGGUCAACACACGUACUAAGAGGAUGCUGGAUCUUAUGUGUUGGUCACUUGCCCUUGAGUUAGUUCUGACUCCUGGUGACUCUGUGAACGAGCGAUGUCCACAGUGUCAUGUCCUCAGCAGCCCUGCUCAGCUCCUGUGGACUCCUGCCUCGGGCUUCCUUCAUGGAGUUGGUCACCCCCUCUUUGGUUUUCUUCUUUUCCUGAUGCCAUCUGCUUUUCUCAGCAUUACUGUCUUUUCCAAAGAACUCUGCUUUCUCAUGAUGCGCCCCAAGUAGGACAGUCUGACUUUAUUACGAACCUCCUUCAUGUUUUUUUUACUUGAAACAGUUUUUACUUUUUCUCCUCCUUGGUAAAAUAAACUGUUCCAUAUCAUCUUUUAAAGUUUCCCUUUAAAAUUAUAGAUUACUUCUUUUAAAAAAAAUUAUUACAUUUUCCAAGAAAAAAUAUUUUGGUUACUCAAACUGCUACAUAAGUGUAAAUUCAAAUUUUAUAGCUUAAUACGAGUGUAUUUUAACAUUUUUUACUUUACACAAAUACAGAUUAAUUUACAUUGUAGUUUAACCCCUGCUGUGGUAGACAGCUGUCGACCUGGAAAUCCCUGACACUGAACACCACUCCUUCAGUGUUGCUCUGAUGCCUUCGUGCUGUGUUCCUUCUCAUGGCGUCCUUGUAACAAGAAACCCGGCGAGAGCGGCCUGAUAAAAUGUCUAAUCAUCAGAAACACACUUAAAACAGAACCCCUGGGAAAACCCCAGUGUUUCUCGCUGUGCCGUCAUACCACCAGCAUACCAUUGGCUACCCAAAAUUCCCCGGUUUGGGGACUGAAGAACAUCCAAGUGAAAGUGUAGAUGACAUUGGAAUGUUCUCAGUGUCAAUAAUUUCAUUUCCACACCCACAAACUAUUAGAAAUUAUAUCUGGUGGUUGUUGCAAGGUCAUUUAGAUUGCUACAGACUUUUUAAAGUGAUCACCUCUAUCUAUAUAUAUAUAUUACAUAUGGACAUGAAUGUUUCAGGGAAUGUGCACUUUAAAAAUACUUUUUACUAAUUUUUGUAUUGACCAAAAGUGCUGUUUUGGAAUGCUUACUCUUUGGUAAAAAUAUAGCUGUUGAUGAUGAUAAUUAGUUUUUUAAAUAUCUAUUUCUGUAUCACUGCAGUAUUUCUUUCACUUUUGUGUCCCUUUUAUGUGGGCUCCUGGCCCUGUUGCCUGUUACACAGUUUCUGCCUUGCUUUACUGUAUUCUGAUAAGAUGAUUUAUAAGCACAAAUGUUUACAGUGAAGUUCUUCCUCUUGAAAUUUACCUUAGUCAUCUUUUUUUUUCCUGAAAAUUGUUUGUCUGGGCUUGCUGAUGACUAACUUUUCUAAAUAAUAAUUAUUUAUUGCUAUUGGUAGAAUUAAAUUGCUUGGCCAGAUGAUUGCCUGGUUUAAUUAUGUAUACCUUCUUCAAGUAAAUUCAGUAAAAUAAAGAUUUCUGAUUUUCAGCCUGUCUCUGUUUUUAGUUAACUGAAUUGAACUUGAAACAUUACCAAUGAACUUUCCCUCACCCAUCUAAUCUCUACCCUCUCUGAAGCCUAAAUAAGUGUGGAUAACUAACAGAUUGCCCAAGAUCCUGAUUUCUCAGUCAAAGCAGCCAGCCAACAGCAUUCCAGCCUACAUGAUCUUUGCUGACCAAAAGCUUGAAUGGAAAUUCUUCUAAAUUCUUAAGCAGCAAGACUGUGCCUCUCAGCCUCAGAAAACUUCAGAUGGCUCAUUUCCACAGUAAGUAAGUAAUGAGCAUAUUUUAAAAGAAGGGCUAGGAGAGAAUUUUCUCCUUGCAGAAUUAAUAGUGACAGAAAUAAUAAUUCACCUCUGACAUGGAGAAUUCAGCCUUUUCUUUACAUAAGAAAAUGCUUCACUACGUUUUGUUAUGAUUUAUUUGACAGCCCUCCUGCAAUAGAAGUGAUUGAAAGCCAUCAUCUUUUUGUAUGUUUUGUCAGCCAAAGCUUCACACUUGGAGGUAGAACCUGACAGUCCUGACUGGCUGAGGGGAAGGCUUAGUCCAGUUACAGCAAUGCUGACACAUCAUUCCUUCCAAAACAUAACUGACCUGGGUGCAUUCUGUAGACCAACUGGAAGUAAGACAUGUCACACCUUAAAUCCCUAAGUGAUGUGCAUGUGUUUGAGUGUUUGUAUAUGUGUGCGCAUCUUCAAAUACAAAGCGGGAUAAAAGCAUCUUGGGCCUUUCCUUUGAAGCACCCUGCACUUCCCAGGUGACUCUGCCUCUGCUUUCUGAGGCAGCUACUAUGGGAAUAUAACAUAGCGUGACAAAUGAAUGCAGAUUGGCCUUGGCGGAUGAAGGGGAGCAGAAUAUGCCACUCCAAAAUAUGCCUUUCUGGUGUAAGCAUUUUUUUUGAGCUGAUGAUUUUUAAGAAACAGCAAACACAGGAAAAGCUCUGGAAACCUAGUAGAAGUUAUAUGUUCAGAAGGGGAAUUUACAUUUAUGAGAGAAAUCUCAUUUGUAAUCCCUCUCUGUACCUAAAAAAGGAGACUCGAAAUGACAAGAAACUCUUACCAAUGGAGAAGGCUCCAACAAGAGUAAGGUUGUAAAUCUUCGAAACAACCUUACUCUUGUUUACUGUGCUUUUUCUGGUAACCUCCCUUAACUGGCCUUUCCCACUGCUCCCCUCCCCGGCCCCACAACAUCUUUCUUGUGUUUUUACCUGAAGCAGGUAUUUAAGGGGAUGGCUUGGGCCAUUUUUAGAGAGUUAAUCAGUGUUCCUGGUUGUCUCUCAUGUACACAGGAGGUAUUGGUAUAUAUACCUAUAUAACACAGGUAUAUAUGUUAUUAAACUUCUGUUUUUCUUCUCAUAAUCUGUCUUUUAUUACAUAGGAGUGGGUCUCAGUCAAGAACCUGAAAGGGUAGAGGGAAAAUCAUUUUUCCCCACGUACAGUUUGGCAAGCCGUCAUGGGAACUGCUGAGAUACCCUUCUCGCUCUGGAGCCUGCAGAUAGGACCCUGGAAAACUGACUGAAGCCAGCAAAGAAAUUAUUGUUUUGCUUUUGCAAAAGUGCCUCAUCUUCAGGGAGACUCAUGGAAAGGACUCUGAAGAGUGUAGGUUUCGGUUAACUUUCAGGUCAUACCAUUGGACUGGGUAAGAACCAACCAGGAAAAUUCUAGGGAAAAAAUGGACUCAUAAAACUGCUAACAAUAGGUCAAGAUCAGCAAGUAUUACCUGGGACUCAAAGAAUUUGUUAUCUGGGACUGAAUGAAAUAAUAAGGAAGAUUAUUUUUAUAACUUUUUUAAUGUUUUGCUUUUCCAGAUUUAAAGAAACUCUUUACUUUUCUCUUAAACUACCUGUGACUUAUAGCAAUUUGGUAAGUAUACCUUUGUGAACAAGAUGAAACGAUUCUUCUUCUCUCUACCUGAUUCCUGCAGAAUUUGGAAAUUUGGAGUAUCCUUGUUUACAUAACAUAGUUAUUUGCAUAAGUUCAAUUUCCUUGUUCUCCUUGUAACCUAUUCUCCUUGUAACAGGACACAAUUGGAAACACUGGUUUUAUUACCAAGACUUUGACUGAAAAGUCACAUGAGAAUGCAUGAAGAAUCAUGUAUGACCAGUUUUAAGGAGUUUUAAUAAAGCUCCUUGGAAAAGCCACCUGGUACCUUGCUUAUAGGGUUCCUGGCAGCCUCACCAGGUUUGGAAGGUCACUUCUCGGCACAUGUGGGAAUCUCAGGAUAUGUGGGGGACCUUGACUGAGAAGAGGUCCAAACGGAUAGAUAGGUAUUGCAGGCAGAGUGUGAAGGCUAGACCUUGGCUCGGAUUCUUCGCUGUGAUACAACCUGAGAUUCCUUAUGCAAAGUUCCAGCAGAGAGAUUUUAAAAUGCCUGUAUCUGGUCACUGUUCUUGCUGCACUUAUGUAAAUAAUCAGGCCAAGUUUAUUGGGACUGGAUUUAUUUCGAAAACAAAUUAGUUUUGCUGUAAUUAUCUUUGGUAAAAAAGAUGGGAUGAGAGAAAAUGAUGCUAAGGUAGAAACUAUAAUGCAUCUGAAGGCUGAUUCUAGUCCUGUUAAUUGUCCUGUCAUUUUCAACCUAUAAACUGGACUGGAUCCUGAAUUCUUUUAAUAUCCUCAAUUAAUCUGGCUACAACUCUUCAAAUUAAUGUUUCCAUUUUCCCCCACUCUUUCGAGUUAGAAUCAAUAAGAACAAAUUUCAUGAAAUUACUAGAAAUCUUGUAUAUCCUGAUGUGUUAUCACUUCUAAUUCUAGUUAUCUGAAAAGGUAUGUCACAGAAAUGACCAAAUUUGUUGGUCAACUGCUUUAUAAUGAACUCUCAUCAAAUCUUUAACCAUUGCCAUUUUUAAACCUUUUUCAUUUACAGAAGUUACUGUGUUGUUUUUGCAAAAGAGUUUCCCAAACCCCUGCAAACAGAAUUCGAACAUGUUGGUAGAAACUUCAGCUAAAUGGUCACAGUAGCUGGUGUUCAGACACCUCCUGCCUGUGUUGCACGGGCCACUGAGACGGUUUACCUGAGCACCCAGUGACGUCAGACACACGACCAUUAACUCUGUGUUCUCUCGUUUCCAUAGAAAUGCCUCUUUUUACAUAUCUGAUUGCUCCUACCACACAGGCCUAACUGUGGGACCCCACCUGCAAUACCUCCUCCUGAAAUAAGAAAUGAAUGUUUAACUGAACUGACCUGUUCUCAAGAUUGAGAGACUGGUUCAGGGAAAGAACACAGCUGUCUAUCAACUCAGCUUCUGGACUGUGAAACACCCGUGACGUUUCAAAGAACUCCACAAGGGAUUUCAGCACGCAGCGCAGGCCGAGAGCCAGUGCUUUGGAGCGGCCCCAGCCUGGCAGCAUGUUAGAGUGGAUCCCACGCUCAGGCCGCACACACCGCCAGUUACAUCAGCGUCUCAGGCUGAAUCCAGGCCCCAGGCUUUUCCAUCAGGCACCCAUGGAAUUCCAGUGCGCACCCAGCUGUGAGAACCGGGUUUCCAGGUCAAAGGGAUACUCGAUGAUGCCGGUUGUGGGCACUCGGACACGAAGCACGUCUUGCUGCGUGGGCACAAACGACGGCACGGCGAUCCGGUCAAUGUCACUCAAGUAACUGUGACAUGAGAGAACGCACUGAUUCGUUUUAGGGAAAGGAGGAGCUUCCCACCCCAGGGAAGCCACCCCGACUCAGAGCAACCCCCACUCAGAUUCAUGGGUUCCAUCCAUGACUCCGAGAGCCGGCUCUCCUACAGCUGUUUUAGAGGGAGUAUAGAUCAGAAGCUUUCAUGAGCCUUCUGGGAAAUCUGCAGACCCCGCCAUCACUUCCUCCUGGAUCUAAGCUUGAUCGUUAUCUGGGCGUGAGAGAGACAGCAGGGCGGGAAGGAAGGGGAUGCUGGAAUCUGCCCUCCGCCUUCCAAGGCCCUUCCCCCUCCCACACUCGCCCUCGUCCAAGAUUAUAGAAUACAGAUGCUGCUCCCAAACGCUUUGCUCAAUGAAUUAGAGUUUCUAAGAAAAUAUGAAGGCAUGAAACAGGCCAACAGGAAGUUCUUUCCAAAUAAUAACAAGAAAAAGUUUUCCUGUUACACAGAGAAAUUAAACAUCUAAAAUAAACCAAAAAUUGUCUUGGAUGAUUUUUUGCCAUAUAUUAAAGAAAGCCAGGAGCUUAAAACAUAUCCCUUCUCUGUGGUAAAACAAGAGGGUACUUUAAAAAAAAUAAGCCUUUAAAAAAGGCAUCUUUGAGUAAAAUAACUCAGACCCUGGCCAAUGACAGAGCUGGAGAUUCCAAGCCCAUCAGCGCUCUGAGACCACUCUGGGCCCCAUACAUGACCCUGCAGCUAAUCGGCACUGACUUCUGUAUGUGUGAUCUUUACACCUCUCUUGUUCCACCAGAUUGUGUGUUCCUCAGCAUUAGAGAGCACUGGUUGUACCUGCCCCCCUCACCUCAGCGCCUGCAGCACCUUGGCCCUCAGCAGGCACGCAUCAUGUUUUUUGUGCAAUGAAUGCCUGUCCAAAUAUGCAGAUGUGACUGGCAGAGGGGAUGACAGCCGCUGGCCUGGACCAAGGAAACACACAAGUGUCUCAGGUCUCACCAGUUCCAAAGGCGGGGCAGCUGUCUGGGUUUAUCUCUGCUGCUGCAGCUCUGUCCACCAACCUAGUCACUUCCAACAGCCCUCUCCCACUUGCCACAGUGUUCAGGGCUCCACUGAACUUUAUAGCAGCUCCCGCGGGUCUCUUCCAAAGGGAUCUGCAUCAAGAGCCCCAGCCCCUCCCCUCCACCGAAGCAAUGACGCUAGGCUCUCAAGAAAGAGCCAGGGAUGCCUUGGCCGAUGGGGGGGCUGUCCCUGGCUCCCCAGCUGUCACAGGCAGUCUGCCCUCCUUUUGGGACACUAACCUCCCUUCCAGCUCUUUUCUGUGCCCAUCCAACACCUUCGUGGGUGGGGCUUCUUUUCUUCCCUUUUCCUGCUUUGUACCUAAACGUUCCUAAACUCAGUGCCCCAGCCUGGUUAAUGGAGUAGACUCUCAGCCUGGGACCAGUGCCAAAGGUAAGAUUCCAGGUUCCCUUCCCGCUCACUGCCUUGUCCAGAGGAUGGGAGUGAGUCGCCCCCCACACCAGCUCAGAGGGCAAUGACAGCUCCUGAAGGGAAGGGCAUGUCUCAGGAAAGGAUUUCGGGGCCCUCAGAAGGUGGAAGGGAUGUGGGCCAAGGGGUUAGGAGCUGAGCUGCAGAAGCAGGAAUCGUUUCUUUAAGAAGGACCUUGAUUAAACUGCCCAGUGGUCUGGCUGACUGAGGCAGCACCACAGGAAAUUCUUAAGAAAAUGAAAUUCUGUGAUUUCACUGGAAUAGUUUGCAUGCAGAACCAUCUAUUUAUUUUUUUUUACCCUAAGGAUAACAUUUAAAACCAGAGCUUUAUGGAUGC